GCAAUUCAUGUAAAUAUCUCCAUCAAGGAAUCAUACAGGGAAGACCCAAGUGGCCAUGGGGAACAGACUGGGUGUUAGUUUUUUAAAUACAGAGGCAUAAAUAACUGUACACAAGGCAGUUAAAUACACAGUGGUGCGAUAGCACCUCCUGGUGGUCACUUGAAGUGGUGCACUCAG
rnacentral:antisense_RNA from 1 species